ACUAGGCAACUUUGGACUGAACUGGAAAGUACAAAAUGUAAAAAAUAAAUAAAUAAAAAUGGAAGUACGGACCUCCCAGCAAUCCUCAGGGUAGUAGGUUUCCAUACCCUUAGGAAUUUCUCCUGUUUCUAUGGGUCCUCCACUAUAAUGACUGCCAGGAAGUCAGGAAUAUAAGAAAUAAACAGAGAAAUGUUCUACAUGGAUGGUGUUAGAAUUGAUCACGAUUGUCAAAUCUGGGGGACUCAUAACCUGAAAAGCCUCAGGUGCACGGGCAUUAACACAACACAGAAAUGAUUUCAUCCUGUUUUGAGUUUUAAUUCCAAAAUGGAAAGUACACACUCACAGAGCUUCCUUCUUACAGGAUCAACAAAAGAGGAAAUACAUGGACAAAGGAUAGAACAGGCUAUUGAUAUUCUCUCCUGGUAGGUUUUUUUUGGGAGGGGGCCAGGGGAGAACAAUUUUCAAAAUUUUAUCAAAUGACCAUGAAAACCAUGUGGAGUUCAGGUGUGAGAUGAAGACUAUAAACCUGGAAAAAAGCUGAGCAAGUGAUGUGGUAGUUCGUCAAUCAAUCUGUGAUUUCUUCUAAAAUUAUUUACCUAAGUAGAGACAGCAGAAUUUUAGACUGAAACAUUCCAAGUGUGUGUCACGUGGAAACUGUAGAAUGCUCUUCUCCAUGUGUUGAGUGUCCAAGGACACACCAAGAGUGUCUAACUUGUUUUAGGAAUAUGCUACUGAAAGAUGUGAGCCCCAGAUAUUCAACAACAGGAAAGAAAAGACAGGAAGUGUGGAAUCACAGAUCAACACAACCAUGGAAAAGAGAAAAGUAGAGGGCAGUGAUAAAGUCCAAGCUCAGUAACUUCAGAUGAUCUACUAGUCUCCUCCUCUUCCUCUUUCUCCUUUUGGGACUCUAAUUUCUGUAGCAGUCAUUGUCCUCUGACUCCAAAGCAAUAUAACCAGAGAGGAAAAACUGGAUGUUCACACUAACAGCAUCAAUAACUGCAUUUCUUCCUGAUGGGGUCACAUUCCCAGCUCUACUGCUCUCCAUUCGGUCACAGACAUCAAGGCCAAUAUUAGUCAUUGGAACUAAAUGGAUAAAAAUCAGGAACAGCUUAACUGCAUACUCUGAGCAUGGCAGAACAAGCAACAUGAACUAUACCUGGACCUGAAAGUAUGAGGUCAAGAAGUAAUCUCUGCCUGGAUAGAUGUUUUUCAUGCAACUCCAUUCUAUGGAAGAAGAAGACAACGCUAUAAGCCAGUAAGUAGUCUCUCCAGGACUCAAAACAGAUAGAUGACUUUAAGUCCCGUGUUCUUGCUACCAAAAUACACUGCCUGGGCAUCCAGAGUUGGCUCAGCUUGCCUCCUCCAAGUAUUUGGAUUAGAGCCUGACCUAACACGGGGCAGUACUGCAUAGAGGAUUGUCACCCGUGGGAAGAACACUUGAACUGACCCAUGAGGAGAACCAGGCUUAUCCCCUGGCCCUGCCAUAUCUGACUGAGCAGGCGUGAGGAGAUCAUGAAUUCUCUCUGCAUCUCUUUUUUUCAGAGACAUUGAUACAAACCUCUAUUUCCCAAUCUUUCCCACGAAGCUUGUGGACUCUUCUAUUAUUUUUCCCUAAGAUGCUCAAACAUUCCUAUAAUGUUGUCAGUGCCCAUGAAAGCCCCUUAACAGUAAGACAAUUACUACCUGAAAAUACCUCUUGUUUCUGUAGUCUUGACAAAUGAAUUCCAGUCACACACACUAAAGAGAGUGUGCCUGGAAAUACCGAUUUUCUCCUUCCCCACUUGUCCGAAUCCAGAAGUGUAUAUUCAGCUGGACGUGGGUGAAGGUGACAGACAGGAGGAAGACAUGGAAAAACACACCUCAUGAAGUCAGGCAACAAUUUUAUCAGAAAUCUCAUUAUUUGUAAUGUUGUUUGAACUCCAAUGUUUUCUUCAUUCACAAAUCCAUAUUCAUCACUCCAUCCUGAAAAUCUUACCCCCUCUCCUUCAUAUUCUCCAUGAAUUAUAUCAGACAUAGCAAAUAACAGAGAAUAUGGAAGUCCCUUGUCUCCACCAGCUGUGUCAAAUCUUAAUACCUUUACACUUGUUUCUGAUCUUUUCAAUAAAUAAUGUAAAUAAUCUUUAAAAUAUCA
ensembl:lncRNA